rnacentral:lncRNA from 1 species
UAGCCAAGUUGUAAAGACAAGCAGAAUGAAAGCCUCUGCAAACAGCAAUAGAUCAGUGGCAGCUGGUGUGAGCAGACCGAUCCCAUCGCCUUAUUGAUCUCUGUUACAGGGGAUUGACAUUUUUCACCCAGUGCAGGUUCCUUCACUUCUAUUGGAAGAAUGGCCUUUCCUCCAGGUAGCUGGGCUCUGUUUUUUUCUACCAUGUUAGUUCACAGCUGCCUUCCUAUUGUAUGAAGACUCAUAUCAUGCUUGUCUUGUCAUCCCCAGGUCUGCUGGAAAUCUGUGUUUGAAUCAUGAAAUGCACUUUUCAAUGGACAUGACAUUCUGGUAACUGGAACAGUAACCAUUUACAAAACGAAGUAUGUCUGGCUUGUAGACCCAGCUGGGAAAGGAUCUAAAUGGGGAGCACAUGGAGAGCUGCCGUGGAUGAGGCCAAGCACAGCAGGUUCCAAGCACUGAGCAGCCAUAGGAGAGCACCACUGAGACCUCUGUCAGCGUUGCCUCUGAGGAUGAGCAAAGUACCUAUUAGGAGCUGAUGGGCAGAAUGGCACUGAACC